UGCAGAGGUCUCAAGCGUUGUUCGGAUUCAUUGGGCGUAAAGGGUGCGUAGGCGGCGCGGUAAGUCGGGUGUGAAAUUUCGAGGCUUAACUUCGAAACUGCAUUCGAUACUGCCGUGCUAGAGGACUGGAGAGGAGACUGGAAUUUACGGUGUAGCGGUGAAAUGCGUAGAUAUCGUAAGGAAGACCAGUGGCGAAGGCGGGUCUCUGGACAGUUCCUGACGCUGAGGCACGAAGGCCAGGGGAGCAAACGGG
rnacentral:rRNA from 1 species